AUUAGGCUGAAUAUCCAAGGUUUCCAGGGUAAAGCUGAUCUGCCCUGGGUAAGUCGGGGCCUAAGGUGAGGACGAGAGUCGUAGCCGAUGGACAACAGGUGGAGAUUCCUGUACUAUGAUAUGACAGAACUGUGGGGACACGUGCAGAGAGCGGAAGCCGGGAAUGGGAUCCCGGUGCAAGCGAGGUACCAGCCGCAUUGGAAAAACCGUGCGGCAAUGGGAAGACGUGAUGCGGAGUGAAGUUUAGUAAUGAAGUCCGUGAGCUGUGCGUCAAGAAAAGCCGCUAUUGUUCAUACCAUACCCGUACCGUAAACCGACACAGGUGGAUGAGGAGAGAAUCCUAAGGCCGGCGGAAGAAGCAUUGUCAAGGAACUCGGCAAAAUGACCCCGUAACUUCGGGAGAAGGGGUGCCUGCGAGAGCAGGCCGCAGAGAAUAGGCUCAAGCAACUGUUUAGCAAAAACACAGGUCUAUGCGAAACCGAAAGGUGAGGUAUAUGGGCUGACGCCUGCCCGGUGCUGGAAGGUUAAGAGGAGAGGUUAGCGCAAGCGAAGCUUUGAAUUUAAGCCCCAGUAAACGGCGGCCGUAACAAUAACGGUCCUAAGGUAGCGAAAUUCCUUGUCGGGUAAGUUCCGACCCGCACGAAAGGCGUAAUGAUUUGAGCGCUGUCUCGACAAUGCAUCCGGUGAAAUUGAAGUACCAGUGAAGAUGCUGGUUACCUGCGCCAGGACGGAAAGACCCCAUGGAGCUUUACUCCAGUUUGGUACUGGGAUCCGGUACUGCAUGUACAGGAUAGGUGGGAGGCUAUGAAUCGGUAACGCCAGUUGCCGAGGAGCCGCUGUUGGGAUACCACCCUUGCAGUAUUGGGUUUCUAACCAGCCGCCGUGACCCGGCGGUGGGACAAUGCCAGACGGGGAGUUUGACUGGGGCGGUCGCCUCCGAAAGGGUAUCGGAGGCGCCCAAAGGUUCCCUCAGGAUGGACGGAAACCAUCCAAAGAGUGCAAAGGCAGAAGGGAGCUUGACUGCGACACCGACGGGUGGAGCAGGUACGAAAGUAGGGCUUAGUGAUCCGGUGGUAUUAAGUGGGAAUGCCAUCGCUCAACGGAUAAAAGCUACCCUGGAUAACAGGCUUAUCACUCCCAAGAGUUCACAUCGACGGAGUGGUUUGGCACCUCGAUGUCGGCUCAUCGCAUCCUGGGGCUGUAGUAGGUCCCAAGGGUUGGGCUGUUCGCCCAUUAAAGCGGUACGCGAGCUGGGUUCAGAACGUCGUGAGACAGUUCGGUCCCUAUCCGGCGUGGGCGUAGGAUAUCUGAGAGGAGCUGUCCUUAGUACGAGAGGACCGGGAUGGACGGGCCGCUGGUGCACCGGUUAGACUGCCAAGUCUAUAGCCGGGUAGCCAAGCCCGGAAGGGAUAAACGCUGAAGGCAUCUAAGCGUGAAGCCCCCCUCAAGAUGAGAUAUCCCAUCCGAAAGGAGUAAACCCCCUUGAAGACGACGAGGUCGAUAGGGCAGAGGUGGAAGUGUGGUAACACAUGGAGUUGACUGCUACUAAUAGGGUGAGGGCUUGACC
rnacentral:rRNA from 1 species